AUAUCAGUCAUGCAUAGCAUAUCAAUAAGCGGAGGAAAAGAAACUAACAAGGAUUCCCUUAGUAACGGCGAGUGAAGCGGGAAGAGCUCAAAUUUGAAAUCUUCAAGGUUUUACCUUGACGAAUUGUAGUUUAAAGAAGUGUUUUCUGUUGAAGUUUUGGUAAAAGUUCUUUGGAAUAGGACAUCAUAGAGGGUGAGAAUCCCGUAUUUGACCAUUACUUUCAGCUUUGUGAUACACUUUCAAAGAGUCGGAUUGUUUGGGAAUGCAGUCCAAAAUGGGUGGUAAAUUUCAUCUAAAGCUAAAUAUUGGCGAGAGACCGAUAGCGAACAAGUACCGUGAGGGAAAGAUGAAAAGAACUUUGAAAAGAGAGUUAAACAGUACGUGAAAUUGUCAAAAGGGAAGCGUUUGACACCAGUGUUGUUUUCUCGAAAAUCAAUUAAAAAGAGUUGGAUUUUGUGUUGUAUUGACUUUAUCAGCUUUCUUCACUCUUUUCCAGCUUUUUUUAAUGCACUUUUCGUUUAACAAGUCAACAUCAGUUUCUUUUGUUGUAAGAAGGUCAUUGGAAGGUGGCUUUCUCUUCGGAGAAAGUGUUUAUAGCCUUUGACUCAUGCAAUCGGAGAGACUGAGGUCUGCAGCGUAGAUCCUUCGGGGUUAGAUACAUUUGUGCUAAGUUAUAGCUUUUCAUAGACAACUUGUUGACUAUGUUUAGUCUUGUAGCUUACUCGCUUAUGCUAUUUUACCUACGCUUAGGAUGUUGAACUCUAUCACACACAG
rnacentral:rRNA from 1 species